GAUGAACGCUGGCGGCGUGCUUAACACAUGCAAGUCGAACGGAAAGGCUCCUGCUUACAGGGGUACUCGAGUGGCGAACGGGUGAGUAACACGUGGGUGAUCUGCCCUGCACUUCGGGAUAAGCCUGGGAAACUGGGUCUAAUACCGGAUAGGACGAUGGUUUGGAUGCCAUUGUGGAAAGUUUUUCGGUGUGGGAUGAGCUCGCGGCCUAUCAGCUUGUUGGUGGGGUAAUGGCCUACCAAGGCGUCGACGGGUAGCCGGCCUGAGAGGGUGUACGGCCACAUUGGGACUGAGAUACGGCCCAGACUCCUACGGGAGGCAGCAGUGGGGAAUAUUGCACAAUGGGCGCAAGCCUGAUGCAGCGACGCCGCGUGGGGGAUGACGGCCUUCGGGUUGUAAACUCCUUUCGCUAGGGACGAAGCGCAAGUGACGGUACCUGGAGAAGAAGCACCGGCUAACUACGUG
rnacentral:rRNA from 1 species